rnacentral:rRNA from 1 species
UACGUAGGGGGCGAGCGUUGUCCGGAUUUAUUGGGCGUAAAGCGUCCGCAGGCGGUCUGCGAAGUUCGAGGUGACAGUGCGCGGCUUAACUGCGCAAGGUCCUUGAAAACUGGCAGACUUGAGGGCUUCAGAGGGACCCGGAAUUCCGGGUGGAGUGGUGAAAUGCGUAGAGAUCCGGAGGAACACCAAAGGCGCAGGCAGGGUCCUGGGAAGCCACUGACGCUCAGGGACGAAAGCUAGGGGAGCGAACGGG